rnacentral:lncRNA from 1 species
AUGAAGGAAAACUCGGGAAAAGGCUGGGAAGGAGCCUCAGGCUCAGCCUCAUUCCCAGCUGGAUUCCUGGGAUUCAUUCCCUGCUGGAAGGGGAGAAAUCCGGGAAUUCCAGGGGAAUUUCACUCCAGUGGAAAACUCCUGGAAUCACAGCAGGGAUUGGGGAUGUUCUCCUCCUCCCUGAAGAUUCCCACAAAGCAUUCCCAAGAGAUGGAGGGGCCGCAUUCCCAGGAUUUUUGGGCAUUUCCCCAGGGCUGGAGCAUUCCCAUGGAUUCCAGGAUGCCCAGCCCCACCUCCCCCUCUGGAUUUUCAGCGGGAUUUUGGGGAUUUAUCCCUAUUUUUUGGUUUUUUCCCCCCACAUUUCCAGGCUCUUCCACAGCGAAACCUGGAAUUAUUCCUCCAAAAUCCCAGGAUUUUUCCCCUCGGAUGCCUCAGUUUUAUGGGAACACACAGAGAGCUGCUUCCAAACCCAUCCCUGGGAUCCCCUCGGCGUCCCCAUCCACAUUCCAGAGCUUUUCCCACCCAAAAUUCACCCACAGGACACACAUGGAAGCAGAGCACAUUCCCAGGAUAACCCCAAGCCAUUCCCUGCUCCCAGGACAGCUCCAAAUCCAUCUUUUUUUUUUUCCCUGGCAAAAGCUUUAUCCGACCACCCAAAUCCCGCAGCUCCUGCUCCUCUCCCAGACAUCUCCCAGCUCUCAUUCCCAGAGUUUCAGCUCCUCCAGCUCCCCGGAAUUCCAGCAAAAUUCCGCAGGGACUCCCCCAGAGCUGCUCCUGCUCAGCUCCUCUCCCUUUCCCAGCCCAUCCUCGAUCCCAACCCCAAUUCCCGAUGGCGGCUCCCCCCCAGACCCCCCAGAUCCCCCCCAGCCGGUCCCUCCAGGGCCGGAUUCCCGGGAUCAGCCGCCAUCCCGGCGUUCCCGUUCCCGCUCAUUCUCCCCGCCAAAAGCUGACAUUUGUCCCUCCCCGCUCCCAGCUGGAGCCUGGAUCCCGAUCCUGCUCCUUCCCACUUUUCCCUGCACUUCCUCCUCCUUUCGUUCCAGGGGGUUUGUAAAGCUCCGUCCCCUCAAAUCUCAUUUUUUCCUCCCAAAAUCCCACUUUCUCUACUCCAAAUCCCACUUUUUUUCCCCCAUCAUAAAUCCCACUUUUUCUCCCUCUCAAUCCCACUUUUGCUCUCCCGGCCACAAUCCCACUUUUCCCUUCACAAAUUCCCACUUUUUCCUCCCAAAUUCCCACUUUUCUCCCUCUCAAAAUCCCCCUUUCUCUCCCCCGAAAAUUCUACUUUCUCACCCCUCCUAA